AUAUUAUUAUUGGUUUUAGUUGAUUUUUUUCUGAUGAGAUGAAUGAUCUGUGUAGUAUGAGUAUAAUUUUGAUGUGGAAUUAUAAGGUUUAAACAGAUUAUGCAUUCUUCUUCUGUGAUUUCGUAUAUUUUCACGACCCGGAUUUUUCAAAAAUUGUUUAUUGUUAUGAAAGUUAUUUUCUUAGAAAGGAGGAAUAAAAUUUAAUAUUUUAUUCCAGUUUGAUAAUUUUCAAAAAUAUUUGUAUAAAUUAUUUUCCUUGUCAUCGGGGUUAGGGGAAAAUAUCUGUUCAUCGUGCAGUUAUCUGUUACGAGAUUUAAUUGAUUUAUUUGUGUACGAUUAUGUCUGUGUGCAUUUAUUUCUGCUUUUGAUAUUAUUAUAUUACUUUAUUAAAAUUUAUUAUCUUCUUAAAUGGAUAUUAUUUUUGUAAAAAUACAAAGAUAAUUUGAAAACUUAUUUUAAUUGCUUGAUGGUGAUCAUAAAUAUUUUUAGGAGUUUAUAAAAUAUUAAGAAUCUUAUGUCUAUAUGGUCGGAUUUUUAAUUAGUUUCUGAAGCAUCUAACUUCUAAAUUUUGUAUAAGUUUCGAAAAUGCUCUGUAAAUCCCGAAACUUUUAUUUAAUUAGUUUUAUAAUAUUCAUGGAUUUGUAAAAUUAUUUUGGUGAUUUUUCGGGAAUGUUUUAUUAUGAAUAGUAUCUGUAAAUAAGCUAAUUGCGGGUAUUAGCCAGGGAUUGUUCUACAAAAAAUAGGACACGCAGCAGCAUGAGAGUGUGACACGUACCCCUAUAUUCCACCGCCUGUACUCCCUUUCUUCUUUCCUUUUCUUAAUGUCAUCACUUUUGAAACCUCAAGUCUCGGUCUCUCCUACCUCUCGUUCUCUCCCCAACUGAGUGUUCUUUUCCUCCUCCCUGCCUUUUUCAUUCCUGCAGCUGUGUGAUUAAUUGGGGGAGAGUGAAAUUAGGGUUUGUCCGUCUUCACUCAAUCAAAGGAUUUGGACGAGGCGUAUACGACCGAAGACGUUCAGAAAGUCAAACGGUGUUCCAAAGCGAAUGAUGAACGAAUCGAGUAAGUGAAGCAGUGUGGCGAAUAAAGUAUAGCCAGAGAUGGUCUAGAUACUAUGAUAUGCAUAGGUUGUGAGUUGGAAAGAUGAGAUUAAGCUGUGUGUGGAAGCGGAUUUAAGAAAAGCUUAGAGAUGAAUUGCUUGAUUGAGAUUGCGAGUAUGGCUAAGGCUAAGCGAGGAGUCAGAGUUAUAGAAUAUCCAGAGGACAAGUGGAAUAUCCAGGGAGAUUGUCAAGGUUGGUUCUAGAUAGAAUUGUAUUGAUGAGAUUCAGUUGUAAGUCAUAAUUGGAAUAGAUUGACAGUGAUUCUUCUUAUCGAAGAUGAUCUGAGAUUGUAAGAUAUUGUUUAUUGAUAGUGGUUGAUUCUGAUUUCAAUACUGUAACCUGGAUGCGAUCCUGUUUUUAGGGGGUUAAAGUGUUUUCUUUUAAAUCUUUUAUUAAAGUCUUCAAGUUUUAAAUGCUUUGAUUUUUAUUUUCUCCUCAAAAAUACAGGUUUUCAAAAGUGUUUAAAAAUGGGUUUUGUGUGGUGACGUCAGAAUCCAGACCCCCGGAUUCUCGGGCUGUCACAGUUGGUAUCAGAGCAACAGGUUAUAAGUUAUUGAAAUUAGAAUAUAGAUUGUGGUUAUAAGUUUUAUAGAGAAAAAGUGUUCAGUGACCUCAUAUAGAGGUAUUGUGAGACUGUCUGGGGAUAGUCUAGAGAGGUAAUCGGAAUAGAAUCUAGAUAGUUAAUUAAGUUGAGGGUACAUGUUUAGAUAGAUCAUGGUUCCUAAGUCUAGAUACUUGGUUUCUAGUAUGGGGACUGAUUGAGAUAGUGAAUUGUGAUAAGGGUCAGAGUCGGACCUAGUCAAAAGAGUAUUAAUAAUGAAUGAUUAAGUUAAGAAUGAUAAAGAUGCAUGGUUUGGAGUAUUCUGACCAUGUUACAUAUUUGAAAGUGGUUUAUCGUUUGAAUUGAAAUGUAGAAGAAUGGAUGUUGAAUAUGAGAUAUUGUGAAUUAGAAAGAGAAUUUUGUAGAUAGAUGUGAUGUGAAUGAUAGAGAGUAGGUGGAAUUGAGUCUAGUUAUCAGAAGUAAUAUUGUGAGUGAGAUAGAACGUUAGUCUUAACGACGACGCUUCAAGCUAACCGGCAUUUCAUCUGCUAUCAAGAUGAACCUGCUUCAUUGCGAAUGAUAAUGUCUACAAGGAAAUCUUACGAGGCUAUCACGAGUUAAUGAUGAUCGAUUAUCGAGAACGUCGAGAAGAGGACAUACAUUGAACAACGAUUUAUGGAAGUAGAGCAGGAAUUUGAGAAGACCUUGGCAAUAUCUUUCUUCAACAAAAGCUUAUCUUAAUUCUUUUCAUCAUCAUUAAGUCCUUAUUAGGAUACCUUUUCUACAAAAAGUUUUGAUAAAUGAGAUAUUCUAUUUCUCGAAUGACGAGAAAACAUUGGUAUUGAUUAUUGAUAUUGGUAUUGAUUCUUGGUGUGUGAUAAAAGUUAUUGUGAGAAGACAAUGAUAUUUCUUGAUAUUUCUUGAGAUUCUUUGAUAUAUAUCUUGAUUCUCUUGAUAUUCUUUGGUAUUCUUUGAUAUUCCUUGGUAUUACUUCCAUCUGAUUGGGAUGAACAACCCUAUGUAUAGGGGACACAAGGUAUACCUGUCUGUGUGAUAGGAGUUGGAUGGGACGCCAUCACUUGUGUGUGUUGUACUUACAAGAAGGUUAACAACCUUUAGUAGUGUCUAAUAUGGGCACGCAACACUAAGUUCGUUUGAUCAUAUUGAUCUCUCAGUCACUCUCUUAUUUAAACAUGACCUAUUUUGCAAACAUCUUGUUCACAUUCUAAAUCUCAAGGAUUGAUUCUUGGGAAAUGAAUUCUGCAAUUGUGAAAGAUUGAUUCUCCUAUGUCUUUAAAGUUAAAGGUAUGCCAAGGUCAUUUAAAGGUGGGGAAUGAUAUUACGAAGUUUUAGUUCUCUUCGCGGAUUCUGAGGACAGAAUCCUUAUAAGGAGGGUAGAAUGUAACAUCCCAGAUUUUCAGAAUUAGUUUAUUAAUUUAGAAAUAAAUUUUUGAAUAUUAUUAUUGGUUUUAGUUGAUUUUUUUCUGAUGAGAUGAAUGAUCUGUGUAGUAUGAGUAUAAUUUUGAUGUGGAAUUAUAAGGUUUAAACAGAUUAUGCAUUCUUCUUCUGUGAUUUCGUAUAUUUUCACGACCCGGAUUUUUCAAAAAUUGUUUAUUGUUAUGAAAGUUAUUUUCUUAGAAAGGAGGAAUAAAAUUUAAUAUUUUAUUCCAGUUUGAUAAUUUUCAAAAAUAUUUGUAUAAAUUAUUUUCCUUGUCAUCGGGGUUAGGGGAAAAUAUCUGUUCAUCGUGCAGUUAUCUGUUACGAGAUUUAAUUGAUUUAUUUGUGUACGAUUAUGUCUGUGUGCAUUUAUUUCUGCUUUUGAUAUUAUUAUAUUACUUUAUUAAAAUUUAUUAUCUUCUUAAAUGGAUAUUAUUUUUGUAAAAAUACAAAGAUAAUUUGAAAACUUAUUUUAAUUGCUUGAUGGUGAUCAUAAAUAUUUUUAGGAGUUUAUAAAAUAUUAAGAAUCUUAUGUCUAUAUGGUCGGAUUUUUAAUUAGUUUCUGAAGCAUCUAACUUCUAAAUUUUGUAUAAGUUUCGAAAAUGCUCUGUAAAUCCCGAAACUUUUAUUUAAUUAGUUUUAUAAUAUUCAUGGAUUUGUAAAAUUAUUUUGGUGAUUUUUCGGGAAUGUUUUAUUAUGAAUAGUAUCUGUAAAUAAGCUAAUUGCGGGUAUUAGCCAGGGAUUGUUCUACAAAAAAUAGGACACGCAGCAGCAUGAGAGUGUGACACGUACCCCUAUAUUCCACCGCCUGUACUCCCUUUCUUCUUUCCUUUUCUUAAUGUCAUCACUUUUGAAACCUCAAGUCUCGGUCUCUCCUACCUCUCGUUCUCUCCCCAACUGAGUGUUCUUUUCCUCCUCCCUGCCUUUUUCAUUCCUGCAGCUGUGUGAUUAAUUGGGGGAGAGUGAAAUUAGGGUUUGUCCGUCUUCACUCAAUCAAAGGAUUUGGACGAGGCGUAUACGACCGAAGACGUUCAGAAAGUCAAACGGUGUUCCAAAGCGAAUGAGGAACGAAUCGAGUAAGUGAAGCAGUGUGGCGAAUAAAGUAUAGCCAGAGAUGGUCUAGAUACUAUGAUAUGCAUAGGUUGUGAGUUGGAAAGAUGAGAUUAAGCUGUGUGUGGAAGCGGAUUUAAGAAAAGCUUAGAGAUGAAUUGCUUGAUUGAGAUUGCGAGUAUGGCUAAGGCUAAGCGAGGAGUCAGAGUUAUAGAAUAUCCAGAGGACAAGUGGAAUAUCCAGGGAGAUUGUCAAGGUUGGUUCUAGAUAGAAUUGUAUUGAUGAGAUUCAGUUGUAAGUCAUAAUUGGAAUAGAUUGACAGUGAUUCUUCUUAUCGAAGAUGAUCUGAGAUUGUAAGAUAUUGUUUAUUGAUAGUGGUUGAUUCUGAUUUCAAUACUGUAACCUGGAUGCGAUCCUGUUUUUAGGGGGUUAAAGUGUUUUCUUUUAAAUCUUU